UUGACGGGACCCGCACAAGCGGUGGAUGAUGUGGAUUAAUUCGAUGCAACGCGAAAAACCUUACCUACCCUUGACAUGUCUGGAACCUUGGUGAGAGCCGAGGGUGCCUUCGGGAGCCAGAACACAGGUGCUGCAUGGCUGUCGUCAGCUCGUGUCGUGAGAUGUUGGGUUAAGUCCCGCAACGAGCGCAACCCUUGUCACUAGUUGCCAUCAUUUGGUUGGGCACUCUAGUGAGACUGCCGGUGACAAACCGGAGGAAGGUGGGGAUGACGUCAAGUCCUCAUGGCCCUUAUGGGUAGGGCUUCACACGUCAUACAAUGGUCGGUACAGAGGGUUGCCAAGCCGCGAGGUGGAGCCAAUCCCUUAAAGCCGAUCGUAGUCCGGAUUGUUCUCUGCAACUCGAGAGCAUGAAGUCGGAAUCGCUAGUAAUCGCAGGUCAGCAUACUGCGGUGAAUACGUUCCCGGGUCUU
rnacentral:rRNA from 1 species